CCUACGGGAUGCAGCAGUGGGGAAUAUUGCACAAUGGGCGCAAGCCUGAUGCAGCCAUGCCGCGUGUAUGAAGAAGGCCUUCGGGUUGUAAAGUACUUUCAGCGGGGAGGAAGGUGUUGUGGUUAAUAACCGCAGCAAUUGACGUUACCCGCAGGAGAAGCACCGGCUAACUCCGUGCCAGCAGCCGCGGUAAUACGGAGGGUGCAAGCGUUAAUCGGAAUCACUGGGCGUAAAGCGCACGCAGGCGGUCUGUCAAGUCGGAUCUGAAAUCCCCGGGCUCAACCUGGGAACUGCAUUCGAAACUGGCAGGCUGGAGUCUUGUAGAGGGGGGUAGAAUUCCAGGUGUAGCGGUGAAAUGCGUAGAGGUCUGGAGGAAUACCGGUGGCGAAGGCGGCCCCCUGGACAAAGACUGACGCUCAGGUGCGAAAGCGUGGGGAGCAAACAGGAUUAGAUACCCUAGUAGUC
rnacentral:rRNA from 1 species